AAUACAGAAAAUCCACUGUUCACACGGACAGAGUCUCCCCUAUAUUUGCACGGCGUCGCACAAGUACAAAAUGUCCAAACAGAGUACAACCACCAUAAUGAAUAUACAACAUUCAACAUUCAUUGACCAUUCAUAUAUACAUUCAUUUCAUUACAAAUAUCUAUAAAUCCACAUCUAUCAGUUUAAAACGUUUUCUAUCCGGAAACUGGUUUUGAAAUACUAUGUUACAAAAAUCACGAGAAACCUUUUAAAACUAUUUCCCACACGAAAAUCUUUU
rnacentral:lncRNA from 1 species